rnacentral:rRNA from 1 species
AACCCAGGGGAAUUGGCCUCUCAAGUGUAAACCGGCGGGAGGUUGAAAGGCGGGCCAAACAGGCUUCAAAAUUUUGAAAAGCCUAGGCCUUUCGGGGUUCGCAUUGUAAUUUGUAGAGGAUGCUUUGGGUAAAACGCCAGUCUAAGUUCCUUGGAACAGGACGUCAUAGAGGGUGAGAAUCCCGUAUGUGACUGGAAAUGUUAACCUAUGUAAAGCUCCUUCGACGAGUCGAGUUGUUUGGGAAUGCAGCUCUAAAUGGGAGGUAAAUUUCUUCUAAAGCUAAAUAUUGGCGAGAGACCGAUAGCGCACAAGUAGAGUGAUCGAAAGAUGAAAAGCACUUUGGAAAGAGAGUUAAAAAGCACGUGAAAUUGUUGAAAGGGAAGCGCUUGCAAUCAGACUUGUUUAAACUGUUCGGCCGGUCUUCUGACCGGUUUACUCAGUUUGGACAGGCCAGCAUCAGUUUCGGCGGCCGGAUAAAGGCUCUGGGAAUGUGGCCUCCACUUCGGUGGAGGUGUUAUAGCCCAGUGUGUAAUACGGCCAGCCGGGACUGAGGUCCGCGCUCGGCUAGG